rnacentral:lncRNA from 1 species
UGACAGAGCCAGACUCCAUCUCAAAAAAAUAAAAAUAAAAAUAAAAAUAAAAGAAUUGCUCAGGUCAAUUAGGCACAUGUGUGGGAAAUUAAAGGCAAAAAUACAAAGCUCUUACCACCUUCUGUGUUGGAGGGAAAAAAACAAGAAAUUCAAGUCAAGGGAAUUGUUAUGGAGUAAAUGUUUGUGUCUCCUCCAGAUUCAUAUGUGAAGCCCUAACCCCCAUCGUGAUGGUAUUAGGAGAUGCAGCUCUUGAGAUGUAAUGAAGGUGAGCACACAGCAAGAAGGUAGCUGUCUGCAAGCUGGGAAGAGAGACCUAACCAAAACUUAACCACGCUGGCACCCUGAUCUCAGAAACUCAGUCUCCAGAACUGUGAGAAAAUAAAUGUCUGUUGUUUAAGCCA